GGGUUGUGAGGUUAAGCGACUAAGCGUACACGGUGGAUGCCCUGGCAGUCAGAGGCGAUGAAGGACGUGCUAAUCUGCGAUAAGCGUCGGUAAGGUGAUAUGAACCGUUAUAACCGGCGAUUUCCGAAUGGGGAAACCCAGUGUGUUUCGACACACUAUCAUUAACUGAAUCCAUAGGUUAAUGAGGCGAACCGGGGGAACUGAAACAUCUAAGUACCCCGAGGAAAAGAAAUCAACCGAGAUUCCCCCAGUAGCGGCGAGCGAACGGGGAGCAGCCCAGAGCCUGAAUCAGUGUGUGUGUUAGUGGAAGCGUCUGGAAAGGCGCGCGAUACAGGGUGACAGCCCCGUACACAAAAAUGCACAUAUUGUGAGCUCGAUGAGUAGGGCGGGACACGUGGUAUCCUGUCUGAAUAUGGGGGGACCAUCCUCCAAGGCUAAAUACUCCUGACUGACCGAUAGUGAACCAGUACCGUGAGGGAAAGGCGAAAAGAACCCCGGCGAGGGGAGUGAAAAAGAACCUGAAACCGUGUACGUACAAGCAGUGGGAGCACGCUUAGGCGUGUGACUGCGUACCUUUUGUAUAAUGGGUCAGCGACUUAUAUUCUGUAGCAAGGUUAACCGAAUAGGGGAGCCGAAGGGAAACCGAGUCUUAACUGGGCGUUAAGUUGCAGGGUAUAGACCCGAAACCCGGUGAUCUAGCCAUGGGCAGGUUGAAGGUUGGGUAACACUAACUGGAGGACCGAACCGACUAAUGUUGAAAAAUUAGCGGAUGACUUGUGGCUGGGGGUGAAAGGCCAAUCAAACCGGGAGAUAGCUGGUUCUCCCCGAAAGCUAUUUAGGUAGCGCCUCGUGAAUUCAUCUCCGGGGGUAGAGCACUGUUUCGGCAAGGGGGUCAUCCCGACUUACCAACCCGAUGCAAACUGCGAAUACCGGAGAAUGUUAUCACGGGAGACACACGGCGGGUGCUAACGUCCGUCGUGAAGAGGGAAACAACCCAGACCGCCAGCUAAGGUCCCAAAGUCAUGGUUAAGUGGGAAACGAUGUGGGAAGGCCCAGACAGCCAGGAUGUUGGCUUAGAAGCAGCCAUCAUUUAAAGAAAGCGUAAUAGCUCACUGGUCGAGUCGGCCUGCGCGGAAGAUGUAACGGGGCUAAACCAUGCACCGAAGCUGCGGCAGCGACGCUUAUGCGUUGUUGGGUAGGGGAGCGUUCUGUAAGCCUGUGAAGGUGUGCUGUGAGGCAUGCUGGAGGUAUCAGAAGUGCGAAUGCUGACAUAAGUAACGAUAAAGCGGGUGAAAAGCCCGCUCGCCGGAAGACCAAGGGUUCCUGUCCAACGUUAAUCGGGGCAGGGUGAGUCGACCCCUAAGGCGAGGCCGAAAGGCGUAGUCGAUGGGAAACAGGUUAAUAUUCCUGUACUUGGUGUUACUGCGAAGGGGGGACGGAGAAGGCUAUGUUGGCCGGGCGACGGUUGUCCCGGUUUAAGCGUGUAGGCUGGUUUUCCAGGCAAAUCCGGAAAAUCAAGGCUGAGGCGUGAUGACGAGGCACUACGGUGCUGAAGCAACAAAUGCCCUGCUUCCAGGAAAAGCCUCUAAGCAUCAGGUAACAUCAAAUCGUACCCCAAACCGACACAGGUGGUCAGGUAGAGAAUACCAAGGCGCUUGAGAGAACUCGGGUGAAGGAACUAGGCAAAAUGGUGCCGUAACUUCGGGAGAAGGCACGCUGAUAUGUAGGUGAAGCGACUUGCUCGUGGAGCUGAAAUCAGUCGAAGAUACCAGCUGGCUGCAACUGUUUAUUAAAAACACAGCACUGUGCAAACACGAAAGUGGACGUAUACGGUGUGACGCCUGCCCGGUGCCGGAAGGUUAAUUGAUGGGGUCAGCGCAAGCGAAGCUCUUGAUCGAAGCCCCGGUAAACGGCGGCCGUAACUAUAACGGUCCUAAGGUAGCGAAAUUCCUUGUCGGGUAAGUUCCGACCUGCACGAAUGGCGUAAUGAUGGCCAGGCUGUCUCCACCCGAGACUCAGUGAAAUUGAACUCGCUGUGAAGAUGCAGUGUACCCGCGGCAAGACGGAAAGACCCCGUGAACCUUUACUAUAGCUUGACACUGAACAUUGAGCCUUGAUGUGUAGGAUAGGUGGGAGGCUUAGAAGUGUGGACGCCAGUCUGCAUGGAGCCGACCUUGAAAUACCACCCUUUAAUGUUUGAUGUUCUAACGUUGACCCGUAAUCCGGGUUGCGGACAGUGUCUGGUGGGUAGUUUGACUGGGGCGGUCUCCUCCUAAAGAGUAACGGAGGAGCACGAAGGUUGGCUAAUCCUGGUCGGACAUCAGGAGGUUAGUGCAAUGGCAUAAGCCAGCUUGACUGCGAGCGUGACGGCGCGAGCAGGUGCGAAAGCAGGUCAUAGUGAUCCGGUGGUUCUGAAUGGAAGGGCCAUCGCUCAACGGAUAAAAGGUACUCCGGGGAUAACAGGCUGAUACCGCCCAAGAGUUCAUAUCGACGGCGGUGUUUGGCACCUCGAUGUCGGCUCAUCACAUCCUGGGGCUGAAGUAGGUCCCAAGGGUAUGGCUGUUCGCCAUUUAAAGUGGUACGCGAGCUGGGUUUAGAACGUCGUGAGACAGUUCGGUCCCUAUCUGCCGUGGGCGCUGGAGAACUGAGGGGGGCUGCUCCUAGUACGAGAGGACCGGAGUGGACGCAUCACUGGUGUUCGGGUUGUCAUGCCAAUGGCACUGCCCGGUAGCUAAAUGCGGAAGAGAUAAGUGCUGAAAGCAUCUAAGCACGAAACUUGCCCCGAGAUGAGUUCUCCCUGACUCCUUGAGAGUCCUGAAGGAACGUUGAAGACGACGACGUUGAUAGGCCGGGUGUGUAAGCGCAGCGAUGCGUUGAGCUAACCGGUACUAAUGAACCGUGAGGCUUAACCUUACAACGCCGAAGCUGUU
rnacentral:rRNA from 1 species